UCAGUGGGGAUGACAAAUAGUCCUCUCUCACUGAUGAUCAUCUGUUAGCUGUGCUUCACAUCUCCACCUCAGACAUUCAGCCUGACUUUGAUACACUUGUUAAAGAUCAACAGAGACUAGAUUUCUCUCACUGAUCAAGAA